UGGGGAAUAUUGCACAAUGGGCGCAAGCCUGAUGCAGCCAUGCCGCGUGUGUGAAGAAGGCCGUCGGGUUGUAAAGUACUUUCAGUCGGGAGGAAGGUGUCAAGGUUAAUAACCUUGGCAAUUGACGUUACCGACAGAAGAAGCACCGGCUAACUCCGUGCCAGCAGCCGCGGUAAUACGGAGGGUGCAAGCGUUAAUCGGAAUUACUGGGCGUAAAGCGCACGCAGGCGGUUGAUUGAGUCAGAUGUGAAAUCCCCGGGCUUAACCCGGGAAUUGCAUCUGAUACUGGUCAGCUAGAGUCUUGUAGAGGGGGGUAGAAUUCCAUGUGUAGCGGUGAAAUGCGUAGGGAUGUGGAGGAAUACCGGUGGCGAAGGCGGCCCCCUGGACAAAGACUGACGCUCAGGUGCGAAAGCGUGGGGAGCAAACAGG
rnacentral:rRNA from 1 species